rnacentral:rRNA from 1 species
GACGUAGGGCGCGAGCGUUGUCCGGAUUUAUUGGGCGUAAAGAGCUCGUAGGCGGCUUGUUGCGUCAGCUGUGAAAACCCGCAGCUCAACUGUGGGCUUGCAGCUGAUACGGGCAUGACUGGAGUUCGGCAGGGGGAGACUGGAAUUCCUGGUGUAGCGGUGAAAUGCGCAGAUAUCAGGAGGAACACCGGUGGCGAAGGCGGGUCUCUGGGCCGAUACUGACGCUGAGGAGCGAAAGCGUGGGGAGCGAACAGG